rnacentral:rRNA from 1 species
CAGCCGCCGCGGGAAUACGAAGGGGGCUAGCGUUGCUCGGAAUGACUGGGCGUAAAGGGCGCGUAGGCGGCGAUCAAAGUCAGGCGUGAAAUUCCUGGGCUCAACCUGGGGGCUGCGUUUGAUACUUGAUUGCUAGAGUGGGGAAGAGGGUCGUGGAAUUCCCAGUGUAGAGGUGAAACUCGUAGAUAUUGGGAAGAACACCGGUGGCGAAGGCGGCGACCUGGUCCUUGACUGACGCUGAGGCGCGAAAGCGUGGGGAGCAAACAGGAUUAGAUACCCCAGUAGUCCCUGUCUCUUAUAC